rnacentral:rRNA from 1 species
AUUGAACGCUGGCGGCAGGCCUGACACAUGCAAGUCGAGCGGGGUUUUCGGACCUAGCGGCGGACGGGUGAGUAAUGCGUAGGAAGCUACCCGAUAGAGGGGGAUACCAGUUGGAAACGACUGUUAAUACCACAUAAUGUCUACGGACCAAAGUGUGGGACCUUCGGGCCACAUGCUAUCGGAUGCGCCUACGUGGGAUUAGCUAGUUGGUGGGGUAGUGGCUCACCAAGGCGACGAUCCCUAGCUGGUUUGAGAGGAUGAUCAGCCACACUGGAACUGAGACACGGUCCAGACUCCUACGGGAGGCAGCAGUGGGGAAUAUUGGACAAUGGGCGCAAGCCUGAUCCAGCAAUGCCGCGUGCAGGAUGAAGGCCUUC